AAUUUCAAAAAUUAAAUUUCUUUUUAAAAUUUUAAAAAUUGGCCAUCUUACUUAUUCUCUUCAUCGGGCUCCUGUCUAUCUUCUCCUUCACUGAGUUGAAAUAAGGAUGGAUACCCAAUUUUUUUGAGAUUACCACUUCCAGGAGUCCGUUUGAGGCUCAUCCCAUCCUUGUUCAGCUUCUUCACCUUGAAAGCGCAUUCUCCAACCUGCUGACUAUCCGGACAAUUUCUGCCCCUUGACUUGGGUAUCGAGCAAAUCGGAUAUCCUUUUUCUUUGAACCCCAAUCGUCGCACUCUAUCAUUAUACAAAUGCAAUUUUUAAAAAAUGUAGUAAUUGGACUAUAGCUCAGAGUAUACCACAGUAUAAAAACAACGGAAAUGGCCGCCAUGUCUAUGCAAAGAAAAUUUCGUUCUGAAGAGAUGCAGGUCAUUAAGAAUUAAAUUAAUUAAAUUUUAAAGAAUGGUGACGAUUGGUUGGAGAUUAUUGACUUUUAUGCAAAUCAUCAAAUUCCCUUCUUAGCAUAGCCAAAGCGAAAAGUGCUACAUCGACUCAAUGUGGAUUAUAUCAAUAUGUGAGCAUGUCAUUUGGUCUAAAUAUGUCACAAGAUCGUUUCAAAUGAUGAUUGACAGAAUGUUGGGAAGUAUUUGUAUAGGCUUUGUUUAUGUUGAUGACAUUCUUUUGUUUUCCUAGACGGAAAAGUAGCAUCAUAAACUUGUAGGUGAGGUUUUAAUGCUCUAACGAAGUAAUGGAUUGAAUUUGAAAAUUGAAAAAAGUCAAUAUUGUAAAACAGAGGUUGGUUGUAAUCUUUCUUCUUCAAAAGGUGUUUAUAUCAAUAAUUGGAAAAUUUUCUGAGUUGAAACAGAUGACAAGACUACAAAUAGUGAAACAUUUCAAGCGAUCUAUAAAGUUUAAUUUAUAAAGCUAUCAACAAUCAGAAGAAGAAUGCUACGAUUUCAUGGUUACUAGAAUUAGAUCGAGCUUUUAAAAUGUUGAAACUAUGUAAGGAUAAGAUUAUAAUGCUUUCUAAUUAUUUUCCUUGGGCGAAUUGAGGAUAAGGGUUGAGGCUUCGGAUAAUGGAAUUGGAACAGUUCUUGAGGAAGAAUAAGACUGUAAAUUUCAUCCUUUGGCCUUCUUUAUUCCAGGAUAUAAAUUCAAAAUAAUCUGCAUUUUCUCGUAAGUUUUUAGCAGCUAGGGAAGCAAUACUACAUUUUGGUCAUAUUAUUGAAGGAAGCAAAAUUAUGUGGUUUACUGAUCAUAAACCAUUAAUUACUGCACAAUUCGUCAAAAAUCCAAAAUGGCAAAAUAAAUAACACAGAUAAUUCUCUAGAAUUCAGCGAAAUAAAUGUUAAAUUGACCCAUACAUCUGGCAAAAGUAAUAUACUAGUAGAUUUUGUCUCGAGAGUUAAUGUGAUGGAAUUAAGUCUUUACUACUGGAAACAUUGGGGAAAAGAACAAACAAUAGAAAAUCUUCUAUAUGAAAUGCCAAUUAGUUGAAUCGAUAGAAAUGGAUUAAGAAAACAUACUAAAUGACGUGAGAGCCAAAUAUCCUAGGCCUAUCGUAUCUAGGGAACAGAUCAAUAAAUUGACAAAAAAAAAAAUAAUUCUUAAUAGGUAAUUAAAAUAUAUAGCACGACGAUGCUCAAAAGUUACUAAUGGAAUAUAUUAAAGUAUCAAAGCUCAAACACUUCAAUAAAUAUGAAGAUGCUACACGUAGAGAAAUCAAUUUCAUGUUUGAAGGAAUAGUGUUUAACAACCUGAAUCUAAGAAAUAACGAAAAUAAACUGGUAGAAUAUUUACUUAUUCCGGUUUACUCAAACCAUUCCAAGUACUCAUCCAAUGUGAGUAAAACUGAUUGGCUCCAAUUCGAAGUAAAUACAGUUGAGAACUGUCCAGUCAAUGCCAAAGUAACACCAACGAACCUAGAAAUGAGAGAAAUAUUCAAAGAGCAAAUGUCCCAGUGAAGAAGGAGACUUGCCACAGAUUAUUGUGAUUUAAACAAGAUCACUAAAUCUGAUUUCCAAGUGGUUCCAAGCUGAGGACCACUAAUCAGUUAACGAGCUAUCCCAUAGCUCGUUAACUGAUUAGUGGUCCUCAGUUUGGAAAAGCCAAGUAUAUUAUUGAGUUAAACAUGGCGGGUGUUUACAUUGCAGUUCCAGUAAAAGAUGAAAAUCAAGACUAGUUGACAUUAUUAUCUCCGUUUGUAACAUACACAUUCCUUUUCAUGCAAGUUGGAUCAAAGAAUGCAUGUGGAAUACCCACAAGAUUGAUGACAAAGGUAUAAGGACCACAAGUUGACAGGAAAAUACUAUUAAGAUUAUUUUAUGACAUCCUCAUAAUUGGUAAGACAUUUAUGGAAAUCUUAUUGAGACUUGCAUAAUUCCCUUUCAGAACAAAGCAAACUAACCUCAGGAUCAAGACGACCAAGACAGACCUAUUCCUCCCUCAAAAUAAUGGUUAGGUCAUAUCAUUAGGAAAGGUCAAAUUUCACCAUCUCAGAGAUUAAUUGAAGUUAUCAAGGAUUGGCCCAGUCCAGAAAACAUCAGAGAUCUGCAAACAUUUUAGGUAUGCUUCAUAGAUGGCAAGAUAAACUACCCAAAUAUGAAUUUAAUAUAUUUUUUUAAAAAUAUGACAAGACAAAUCAAAACCGAUGCUUUAAGGUGACUAUCUGACCAUCAGAGAGUCGAAGAAGAAAUAGUUAUGACAGCAGAGGAUCUUUAUUUUUUUGAUUUAAUCAACAGUAAAUCAUGAAAAAAGACGCUAUAAUAACCCGGAGUAAAUCAAAUAAAGCAAAAGAAAGUGUAAAUGUUCAAAACAUACAUUCCAUGCCAGAAGAAGAACCUCAACAAAGGGAAUUUUCUAAAAUUGAAUUUAAUGAAUCUGAAAAUAAGGAUGAAACGAUUAAAUGCCAUUGGAGAAAGUACGAAUCCAACAUGAAGAAAAUAAUCAUUCAUUUCAAGGAGAAAAAAAGAAAGGCCUCUUCCCCAGUUACAAGUGAUAAUGAGUAAAAACGCAUUUGCUCAAGCAUAAGAUCAUACAAUUAUUCGGAAGAAGGAUACGAUAAUGCAUUUCAUGAAGAUGUAGAUGUUUGAAUGCCUGGACACUCGUCAAAUAUAGAACAUUGAUAAUGAUGAAAUUAAAUUUAAUCUUAAUAAUUAUUUUCACUAUUUGUUUUUGUUCUACCACUCCAACUUUUAAAUAAAUCAAGAAGAUGGCUUACUUUGAACCAGACGGUCAAAUAGCAACAUAUUUUACUCUGGUAUAAGUACAAGAUUAUCCUAAUCCUGGAAAUGGUAAACGUUCAGACUCAAUAAAACAGCAAGAAGCACAAAAAGUGUGGGUACAAAACAAGGCAAUCUUCCAACUGAGAAAGAUAAUUUCGUAAUUACAAGAAGGAGUAAAUGAAAAUAAGUCUCAGAUAUGGUAUAGCAAAAACCAACAAUGUUCAAAGAGGCAAAAAUCAUUUGUAAUUCGAAUACGUGGAGGAUCGCAUUCGAAAGUAUCUUGGUUGGACUUUAUGAACAUAGACGAGAUUAUGAUUAUGUAAGGGAUAUGAUUAAAGACGGUUAAGAGUUUAGACAAGAAGAUGAAAACUUUUUAAAAACCCUGAACAUACUAGCCAAGGUAGAGAAACAAUUUCUUGGAAAAAGAUGUUGAGCUGACUACAGGAUGUGAAAAUUGAGGAUUGUGAGAAUUGAAUGGUAAUCUUUGAAUCAAUCAAGAUCAAAGUAAUAAGAUGGAUAGACGGACUCAACAAACUUUAUGUGGAGUAUUAACACCAAGUCUAUUGCCAAUCCGAUAUGCAAAGAAACUAAUGUAUUGGGUUGGAGCAACUUUGGUAUCAAGUAUCCAAGUGAGGACGAGGGAGUAGCCUAAUUAUAUAUAGACUUCCUGUAUCUUCAUUUCUUUUAAAAAGGUCCCUGUAAAUAAAUAUAUUUUUGUAGUGUCUUUAGUUCAUGAUACCAGUUAAAUUAAGGAAGGUAGAAGGAGGAUUAAAACUAUGGAAUGAUUCCCCUGCAUAAUAUUAAACAUUUUUUAAAUCUAUUUAAAUUCAUGAAAGUGAUUUCGGUCAUAAAAAAUGAUGAGGCCUGGAUAUCAUACAAUGCUAUGGAUAUAACAAAUAUGGCUGCCAAUACAUUUAAAGGUACAAGAUACUACCUAUUAGCCAUAUCUGGAUUAGCAAUCAAAGACAUCUAUCUUAGUAUUUUUUUAUUUUUGCUGGAGAGCUAAACACGUAUUAAAAUUAAAACUCACGAAGACCCAAUACUCCUUAAGAAAAUGGAUUACCAGGAUGGUACACACCCUCAAAAAAAACGAAAAAAAACUGAAAGGACGCAAUUUCACAAAGGGUGAGCAUCAAUAGUAUCAUCACACCCAUAAGUACACCAACACAUCAAAAACCAUGUAUUAGUCAUCAACUAUAUUCUCUUUUAUUAUAUAAGAUGAAUAAAAACAAUGAAUACAAACAGGAUAUUUGAAACUAUCUGAGCUUCUAAAUUUAAUAAUUUUUCAAGCAUUAGUAAUUUAUAACUUGUGUUACUUAGUAAGAAUAAACUUUUGUCAUAUCA
rnacentral:lncRNA from 1 species